rnacentral:tRNA from 1 species
AAGUAUUUUACUUUUAUUAGAAAA